GUGAGGAAUCUUCCGCAAUGGGCGAAAGCCUGACGGAGCGACACCGCGUGAAGGAUGAAACCCUUUUCGGGCGUAAACUUCUGUUCUGAGGGAACAAAUUUUUGAGUGUACCUCAGGAGAAAGCAUCGGCAAACUACGUGCCAGCAGCCGCGGUAAGACGUAGGAUGCAAGCGUUACUCGGAAUCACUGGGCGUAAAGCGUCUGUAGGCGGAUGAGUCAGUCUGGGGUAAAAGGCGGGAGCUCAACUCCCGUUAUGUCCCGGAAACUGCUCAUCUGGAGCAACUCAGAGGCACCUGGAAUGCUGUGAGUAGGGGUAAAAUCCGUUGAUCCACAGUGGAACGCUAAAAGCGAAAGCAGGGUGCUGGGGGUUCGCUGACGCUGAGAGACGAAAGCGUGGGGAGCAAACCGGAUUAGAUACCCGUGUAGUCC
rnacentral:rRNA from 1 species